UUUGGUUGCUUCAAUCUCCUUCAGUUUGCUUCUCUCUAUCUCUCUCGGUCUUUGAAUCUCCCUAUAAAUACUUAUCUAGCUUUCUCAUAUUCCAUCUAUAAUUUUGGAUCAUUUAUGAUCUAUCUAUGCAUCCUUAGGUUUGCAGGUUUUGAGUUCAAGUUAUAAGUUUUGCGGUAAACAUUCAAUUGAAAUGCAAGCUGAAACCCUAGCAUCUUUUGCACACUCAGCAGGCCAAACUAGUGUUGUCGCCGUUUCUUCUGCAAGGACUUGUAUUCUAAGGUCUGCUGAAUAUGGCCAAUCGUAUUCUAAGGUCCAUGAUAAAGCUACACAGGAAGUGAGCUCUUAGACGUGCUGUCCUGGAACAAAAGCACCUGAUUUAGAAGAAGAUGAUAAAUUCUAUGAGGACUUCAAUAUGAAUGAAGUUGACUUGAAUAUUGAGAACUAUGAAGAAAUAUUUGGUGUAGCUCUUAAUGAUCCAGAACAACUGUUUGGUAACGAUGGAAUUGGUAGCUUGUUAGGAGUAAAGGACAUGUCCGAUGCUGAUUUGAACCAUCGAGGCACAUAUGCAGCUGAUUUGAACCAUCCUUAUUAUUCUCAUCAGCUAUAAUCGGCUCAUUUGUUUGUUGUUUUAGUUCUUCAUCUCUUUCUGCUUUACAA